CAGACUAGAUGGUCUCUUGGAAACUAAAUGAAAAGAUCUUGGGAUGGUCUAGACAGACUAGAUGGUCUCUUGGAAACUAAAUGAAAGGUUCUUGGGAUGGUAUAGACAGACUAGAUGGUCUCUUGGAAACUAAAUGAAAGGAGCUUGGGAUGAUGUAGACAGACUAGAUGGUCUCUUGGAAAUUAAUUGAAAGGUGCUUGGGGUGGUGUAGACAGACUAGAUGGUCUCUUGGAAACUAAAUGAAAAGAUCUUGGGAUGGUCUAGACAGACUAGAUGGUCUCUUGGAAACUAAAUGAAAGGUUCUUGGGAUGGUAUAGACAGACUAGAUGGUCUCUUGGAAACUAAAUGAAAGGAGCUUGGGAUGAUGUAGACAGACUAGAUGGUCUCUUGGAAAUUAAUUGAAAGGUGCUUGGGGUGGUGUAGACAGACUAGAUGGUCUCUUGGAAACUAAAUGAAAGGAGCUUGGGAUGGUCUAGACAGACUAGAUGGUCUCUUGGAAAUUAAUUGAAAGGUGCUUGGGAUGGUCUAGAUAGACUAGAUGGUCUCUUGGAAACUAAAUGAAAGGUGCUGUUCAGAGUAAAGAUGUCAUGCCAUUAUCAGUAACUUAAUAGUCGAACCUGUUAUAUUAUCAACCAGAUGUGCACGGAACUGGACCAACCCUGUAGUAGAGAAAGAAUGUUGACUAUAAGAAGUGUAAGAAUCUGUUGUACACAAAAAAUCAGAUGUGUAUUUGUAUUCAAGAUAUGUCUGUGAAUUGCAAACGUCAAUCUGAUUCAGACUCUGACUAGUUAGAGUGCAAGGUGGUGUUCAUCAACAACAUUUCAUUGGUAAAGUUUUAUUGAAAUAUUGAAAUCAGGCCUUUGUCAGUUGAUACUUUUAGAUAAUCUUGUUUGUUUGUUUUUUGUGCUUUAUAAACAGGACAUAUCUACUGUGAGUACAACAUUCCUUGCUUGGUCAUUUUGUGUUUGUUUUUUUUCCAGCUAAAUUUUAUCCAUGAAUAUAUGAAAAGCUAUACUAGAGAUUCUUCGAUUAAUAUACAAAUGCAGGAUCAGAUCUUGAAAGAGGUUCAAUGUUUUUCCCUUGCCUCACACCUCUUUUGGACUUUGUGGAGUAUCGACAAUGGAUAUUGUUCUACCAUCAAAUUUGGUUACUGGGAGUACGGUUGUGAAAGACUAGAAGCUUAUUUAACUCUGAAGUCGAAACUUCUGAAGUCAUAAAGAAAACAUUCAUCAGAUUAAAAAUACUUCCAGGAAACUCGAGAUAGUGUCAAGAUGUGAAGCCAUUGGUUAUAGUGAUGGAUUAUGUUAUUGUUUUGGAAAAAUGCAGAUCAAAUGUUGCAGUGUUUUUUAUUGUAAGUAAUGUAUAUGUACGUAAGAUGCUAAAUUUGGAAACAUGAGUCAGUCGUUAAUAUCUAGUGACAGUUUUUCUAAUUUUAAAAAUAUGUAUAGAUCUUAUUUAUCAAUAAGAAAGACAACUGUUGUUCGCAAGUGAUAUUAUUACAAAUAAUUAUUUAUUGUUUAUAGUGAGUAUAUCCUUUCAAUGUGUACUUGUGAUACGUUACGUAUUCAGAGCAUUCCAGCUUUUGAUGAAUAUGUAUCAAGAUAUGUCAUCUAAGAAAAAACAUUUUAAAAAUAGGAAAAAUUACAGUGGCUUUCAUGGUGCUAGUUAUUAAGUUUAAGUUACGUUUAUUUAAGUUACUGACAGUUGGACAGAUCAUUUCUUCUUGUAGUUGGUUUAGUCAUAUAUUUUAAUAUGUAAAUUAUAUUCACACCUCGAGUUAUCCAAUUGAUAGUGGCACCAUUAUUUAUUGUUUUUAAUCUUUAUUUCUUGCAAUAGUUCCUGGUUUAUGUCCCAUCAUAGUCUUAUUUUAUACAGUUGAUUCUAAAAUUAUCCCCUAUUAUUACAUAAAAAGAGCAGUCAGGUUUUUAACUUUAUUAAUAUCACUUUAAAAUCUUCAUAUUUUACAUAGAAAUAAGAUGUAGAAGUGCUUGUUGCUUUGUGAGAAACAUUGUGAUAUCCAAGUUGUUUUCUAAAGAUUUGGCUUUAAUUAUAUAUUUAUAAUGAUAAAUAUGUACUUAUCUUUUUUUUCUGUGUUCUCCUUUGAGUUUCAUUUAGUUGUGGUAAACAGUAUUUUCAAAUGAAAUCAUCUUAAUUUUAAGGAGCUGAAAACUGUCAUGUGUUAUUUAGCAUUUGAAAGUUUUUUUGAUUAGAAUAUAUUUUUUAAGAUUUAUUAGUAGAUUUCUUUCCACCUCUAACGCAUAUAAGAUCCAUAAUUUAACGUAUGUGAUUUCUCCUAUUGGGAAGAGAAGUCUAUUUCUGAAACUGAUUUCACUGAAACCAAAGGGAUCAGACUUAAAGUGUAUUUUUAACAGUGAAACAUUGAUUCUUAUCAAAACACCAUAACAUCACUGCUGUUCCAUCGUAUCCUCAGUCUAACGUUUUUUUUUGUAACUAAGGCCCGAUGAUCCUAAUUGUUUCCGUUAGUCCUGUGGCAUCUGAUUGGUUUACUUACUUGAAAGCUUUCAUGUACUAUCCCACCAUUUGAAAUCAGUUGAGAUCUGUUUUUUUUUGUAACUAAGGCCCGAUGAUCCUAAUUGUUUCCGUUAGUCCUGUGGCAUCUGAUUGGUUUACUUACUUGAAAGCUUUCAUGUACUAUCCCACCAUUUGAAAUCAGUUGAGAUCUGUUUUUUUUUUGUCGUUAUAUCUGUUAUUCUGGAAAACUAGUUAUUUCCUUAAUGAUUUAUUUUCAGUUCAUGUCUGAGAAGCGUUGUUGACUCCUAUUACAUGAACUGCUGUUUCUGUACCUUGCUUUUCUACAAAGAAUAUUCCUCUGUAAUUAGAUGUUUAAUUUCCUGAUUCGUUAACUUGCAUGAUACAUGUUGACAAGUGUUCUGUGUUGCAGUUAUAAUAGUUUUAAUAAAAUCUUGUUUCUCUUGUACGUUCUUUUGGUCGCCUCUAUUUAUCCCCUGUAAUAAACAGGUAUUUGCAUCUGCUAUAUUCUUGUAGUCUAUUGUGCACGACUUUGCACGUCCACUAUCACUGCAAGUUGCUUGUUUUACAGCUGGAGUAUCACAUUAAAGUGAAAACUCUGCCUUAAUGUGUUUUCCAGAGAGAGAGAGAAAGGUGUUAUUGAGCAAAACAUAAAACAGCAUCUGUUUGUCAAGAAUAAUCAUGAAUGAGCUCUAACCAGAAUGAUAUGGAAUCACACCUUGAAUCUCUUGAAGAUAUGUUGUUAUUAUAGGUGUCUUAUGGUCCUUCUGUUUAAAGAUUUCCAUCAACAGUACCACUGAAUGUAGUUAUUGUGAAUAGUUUUGAUGUUUUACAUUCAACUCCAUUCAAGAUAAAAUAAAUUCUCUUCCUGUACUACAACAGUUCUUAAGAACAAGGCAUUACUAAUGUGUAAAUCAGUGCAAUAUAGGCGACCUGUACAAAACAAAUAAAUGUUAAAUACAAGCCAAUUAAUAGUAGGUCAGAAAUAAAUAAAUGUGUAGAAAAUGUUGUGUGAAAUAUACCAAAGAUCUAAACUUAAAACACUAACCCGUGUGACUGAGUUGGAGACAAUAAAACACUAACCCGUGUGACUGAGUUGGAGACAAUAAAACUAACCCGUGUGACUGAGUUGGAGACAAUAAAACACUAACCCGUGUGACUGAGUUGGACAAAAUAAAACACUAACCCGUGUGACUGAGUUGGAGACAGUAAAACUAACCCUUGUGACUGGGUUGGAGACAAUAAAACACUAACCCGUGUGACUGGGUUGGAGACAAUAAAACACUAACCCGUGUGACCGAGUUGGAGACA